CCUACGGGAGGCAGCAGUGAGGAAUAUUGGUCAAUGGGCGGGAGCCUGAACCAGCCAAGUCGCGUGAGGGAAGACGGUCCUAUGGAUUGUAAACCUCUUUAGGCGGGGAGCAAUGCCGGGCACGCGUGCCCGGAGGUAGAGUACCCGCAGAAUAAGCAUCGGCUAACUCCGUGCCAGCAGCCGCGGUAAUACGGAGGAUGCGAGCGUUCACCGGAUGUAGUGGGUUUAAAGGGUGCGUAGGCGGAUUUUUAAGUCAGCGGUAAAAUGUCCGGGCUCAACCCGGGCCGGCCGUUGAAACUGGGGAUCUUGAGUGGGCGAGAAGUAUGCGGAAUGCGUGGUGUAGCGGUGAAAUGCAUAGAUAUCACGCAGAACUCCGAUUGCGAAGGUAGCAUACCGGCGCCCGACUGACGCUGAGGCACGAAAGCGUGGGGAUCGAACAGGAUUAGAUACCCUUGUAGUC
rnacentral:rRNA from 1 species